GGCGGUAUGCCUAACACAUGCAAGUCGUACGAGAGUUUUUAACUCUAGUGGCGACGGGUGAGUAACACGUGAGAAUUUGCCUUUAGGAGGGGAUAACAAUUGGAAACGAAUGCUAAUACCCCAUAUGCUUUUGAGUGAAAUGGAUUUUAUCCGCCUAGAGAGAAGCUCGCGGCUGAUUAGCUUGUUGGUAAGGUAAGAGCUUACCAAGGCGACGAUCAGUAUCUGGUUUGAGAGGACGAUCAGACAGACUGGAACUGAGACACGGUCCAGACUCCUACGGGAGGCAGCAGUGGGGGAAUUUUCCGCAAUGGGCGAAAGCCUGACGGAGCAAUACCGCGUGAGGGAAGAAUGCCUAUGGGUUGUAAACCUCUUUUUUCAGGGAGGAAUAAAAUGACGUGUACCUGAAGAAUAAGCAUCGGCUAACUCCGUG
rnacentral:rRNA from 1 species